rnacentral:rRNA from 1 species
AUUGAACGCUGGCGGCAGGCCUAACACAUGCAAGUCGAGCGAGCGGCGGACGGGUGAGUAAUGUCUGGGAAACUGCCUGAUGGAGGGGGAUAACUACUGGAAACGGUAGCUAAUACCGCAUCCCAUCUGCUGUUCCCAGAUGGGAUUAGCUAGUAGGUGGGGUAACGGCUCACCUAGGCGACGAUCCCUAGCUGGUCUGAGAGGAUGACCAGACACACUGGAACGGAGACACGGUCGAGACUCAUACGGGAGGCAGCAGUGGGGAAUAGUGCACAAUGGGCGCAAGCCGGAUGCAGCCAUGCCGCGGGUGGGAAGAAGGCCUUCGGGUUGUAAAGCACUGUCAGCGGGGAGGCGUUACCCGCAGAGGAAGCACCGGCUAACUCCGUGCCAGCAGCCGCGGUAAUAC